CAGUAGCCACGGUAAUACGUAGGGUGCAAGCGUUAUCCGGAAUUAUUGGGCGUAAAGAGCUCGUAGGCGGUUUGUCGCGUCUGCUGUGAAAACUGGAGGCUCAACCUCCAGCCUGCAGUGGGUACGGGCAGACUAGAGUGCGGUAGGGGAGAUUGGAAUUCCUGGUGUAGCGGUGGAAUGCGCAGAUAUCAGGAGGAACACCGAUGGCGAAGGCAGAUCUCUGGGCCGUAACUGACGCUGAGGAGCGAAAGCGUGGGGAGCGAACAGGAUUAGAUACCCCGGUAGUCACUGUCUCUUAUAA
rnacentral:rRNA from 1 species